GGCGGCGGCUGGGCGCCCACCCAACUCCGAUAAAACCGACGACGAGACACGACGAGGGCCAGUGACAGUCAGGUGUCAGACUGGGGUCGCAGAGCACACGGCGAGGACGGGCACGACUGCAGAUAUUACAGGGUCCACGUCGAGCCUCGACUCCUGGAACGACCUCACGAUGGCACCGGUACCUGAGGAUCAAGACUACUCUGACCCGGGGACCCAAACUCCGGAGAUCCAGCUGAAACAGAGCAAACUCGCUACCAUGAGCGAGGUCACACUCAGCACGGAGGAGCCACCAGCAGCGCCUGCCAAAGAGUCGGGCCCGCCACCGGUGCCUUUUCGCCAGCUGUUUCGGUACGCCGACAAAAAGGACCGAUGGCUCAUCUCUGCCGGACUCCUGGCAGCAGUACUGUCGUCCAUGGCCCUGCCGGUAGUUGUUGUCGUGUUUGGGAACGUCACAGAGGCCUUGGCGGAGUUUGGACUCAACCAGACGGCCGACGGGAGUGCAGAGAAGCUGAGCGAUGCCAUAGACGUGUUUGUGUUCGGUAUUCUCGGUACAUCGGCGCUGCAGAUGGCCACGACGAUGUCAUUUGUGUUCUGUCUGUACUACGCGGCGGCAAGACAGUCACGAUGUUUGAAGCAGAAGUUCUUCCGUUCAGCAUUGAGACAAGACAUAUCGUGGUACGAUACCAAACAAAUGGGAAACUUCACUACUCGAGUCACAGACGAUUUGAAGAAAAUAGAGGACGGCAUUGGGGAGAAGAUUGGAAUGAUUAUGGUGUUUUUCAUGACGUUUUUUAUCGGCGUCGGUCUGGCGUUUGUCAGCGGGUGGAAGCUGACUUUAGUGAUCGCCUGCUUCAUCCCUGUCAUGAUUGUCACCGGGGCAUUUAUGGCCAAGCUUCAAGCAAGUUUCGCGCAGAAGGAGGCACAAGCUUACAGUUCAGCAGGCUCAGUGGCUGAAGAGGUGAUCGGUGCCAUCAAGACAGUGAUGGCAUUUGGAGGCGAGAAUAAGGAAUCAGAGAGGUACGCCGCGAGCCUCCAGGGCGCGCGAGCCGCCAUGCUGCGCCGCAGCGCUGUGACAGCACUUGGAGUUGGCAUGGUGUGGCUCACUCAGUACGCUUCGUUCUCGCUGGCUUUCUGGUACGGCACAGAGCUUGUGAUCGAGUCACGGGUCGCCGGUGAUGACCUCUACAACGCUGGGACACUGACCAUUAUAUUUUUCGGAAUUCUGAUCGGAGCAGCCAACGUGGGCCAGGCUACCCCUCAUGUAGAGGCGCUCUCUGCUGCUCGUGGAGCCGCUGCAGCUGUCUAUUCGGUCAUUGAGCGAGAAUCUGAGAUUGAUGCCAACAGCGAGGAGGGGCUGAAGCCUGAGAAAACGGUGGGACAUCUUGAGCUGAGAGACGUCCAUUUCACCUACCCAUCUCGACCAGAGACCCAGAUCUUGAAAGGCAUCAGUUUCGCUGUUCGACCCGGGCAAACAGUGGCUCUGGUCGGCUCCUCCGGCUGCGGAAAGUCCACCUGUGUCCAGCUGAUCCAGCGGUUCUACGACCCCGAGCAAGGAGAGGUCCUGCUGGACGGCCGUGAUGUCCGCGAGCUUAACGUGGCCUGGCUGCGGCGUCAGAUCGGCGUCGUCUCGCAGGAGCCGGUACUGUUCGGCACCACGAUCGCUGAGAACAUCCGCUACGGCCGACCCGACUGCUCCAUGAAGGAUAUUGAGGAGGCUGCUCGCCAAGCCAAUGCCUACGACUUCAUCGAAGAGCUUCCGCUCAAAUUUGACACGAUGGUCGGUCAGAAGGGCGCUCAGUUGAGUGGGGGACAGAAGCAGCGAAUCGCCAUUGCACGUGCGCUCGUGCGCAACCCGCGCGUGUUUCUGCUGGAUGAAGCCACCUCGGCACUGGACUUGCGAAGCGAGGCUGUUGUCCAGCUUGCACUAGAUAGGGCUCGGUCGGGCCGCACCACAAUCGUCGUGGCCCAUCGUCUCUCUACUGUUCGAAGUGCUGAUGUCAUCAUCGCAUUGAGCGACGGACGAGUGGUGGAGACGGGCACCCACGAGCAGCUGAUGAAGAACGAGGGCCUGUACCACGGCCUGGUGACGUCACAGAUCACCGGCGGAGGCGAGGAGGAAGAAGUUGCAGAGGAAAGAGUAGAGGAGGAGGCAGAGGAGGAGGAGGAUGUGGUGGAAGAUAUGGUGGAGGAUAAAGAUGGUUUCCACCUUCCCGCCCUGAGGCGUCCUUCCAUUCCGGGUAUCACGCGUCUGAGGACUCUGUCGUCCGGCUCACACCCCAGCGACGGGCACCAUAUCGGAUCAGAGGUCAACGGGGACUCGACCGCCGUGACUGUCGUCCGCCCGGCCUCCAAAAAGAAGCGCAGAAAAACCGCCAAGAAAUCCGGUGGUGCAGGAGGACAGACUGAGGAGGAAGACGAGGGUGAGCCGGUGUCGGCCUGGAGGCUGCUGCGGCUGAACGGCUCCGAGUGGCCCUACCUGCUGCUCGGCGUGGUCGGAGCAGCCAUCAUGGGAGGCUCCAUACCCGCCUACGCGAUCGUGUUUGGAGGCGUUCUUGGUAAUCUCGCGGUGGAGGAUCCGGACGAAGCGUUGGCUAACGCUCAGUUUUACGGUCUGCUCUUCCUCGGUAUCGGAGUUCUCGCCUUCCUAGCCUCGUUCGCACAGGUGUUCAUGUUCGGCGUGGCUGGCGAGAGGCUCACCACUCGGAUCAGGAAGCUGACGUUCAAGGCGCUGCUGAGACAGGAGGCGGCCUAUUUCGAUGACUCGCGGCAUACUGUCGGUGUGCUGUGUUCACGACUCUCCAGUGAUGCAUCCAGCGUACAGGGCGCAACCGGCACCCGGCUUGGAAACAUGACCCAGGCCGUGUUUACUCUCUUCCUCGGCCUGGGCAUGGCCUUCUAUCUGAGCUGGCAACUGGCGCUGGCGGCUCUGCCGUUUGUGCCGCUCUGUGUGCUGGGGACGUAUGUCGAGAGCAGGCAGACGUCUGGGAACAUGGCUAAGGAAAAGUCCGAUCAGGAGAGUGGCAACCAGAUAGCGGUAGAGGCCAUCUCCAAUGUCCGCACUGUGGCCAGCCUCGGGCUAGAAAACAUGUUUGCUGACCGAUAUGAAGAGCAGCUGAAGAAGACGCAUAGCAAGUACAUGAAGCGCGCGUUCCUCAGAGGUCUGGUGUACGGGGCGGCCCAAACUGCCCCGACCGUCUCUUAUGCUGUCGUGUUCGCCAUCGGAAAGCACCUUGUAAUUGACGGCACCGUACCCUACUCACACCUCUUCAUGAUCACAGAGAGUUUGAUAUACGGUACCAUGGUGAUCGGCGCCGCUGUAGCCUUCUCGCCGGACAUGAACAAGGCGUUCAUCUCGGCCAGACGAGUGUUCGCACUGCUGGACCGAAAACCGACCAUUGAUAGCUCCACCCAGGCUGGACUCAAACUGGUAAGACGCAGAUCAGAUAGACGAAAAUAGGCGCUGACUGGAUUUGACUAGGUACCAAUUUUAGUUGUCAGCUAAUUUGAACCAGCAGUUGUAACUGUCAAAGUAGUUUGUGGGCUAUUAAUGAGGUAUGACAUUCAAACUCUUCGCUGAUUUCUGCCUGUUGGUGUAGGUUUGAACAUCUUUUUUAAUCGAAUACCCUCAGUAACCUUUAUUGAAAUAUUAAGAAUGCCUUUCUCCCGUGAACAGCUUUCACCGGAAAUAAUUGAAGUAAGUGACAUUAUAUAAUUUUGCUUCGUUUCGGACAAUGAUAUGACCUGAAUGUUAAUUAGUAUUUCCUACACAUCUUACUGUUAUCAUAGCAUCUUCUGGUCCUACUUAGGGAUCAACUUAUUGUUUUGUUAUACGGAAAUUUAUUUCAGCAUGCAUAAACACGGACAAGUGACCCCCGCCCUUGUCAGAUCUGUCUGACCUGAUUUAAUCCCUGACCUGACCUGACCUGACCUGACCUGCACAGCCGGGACUGAGCGGCUCCAUCAGUCUGGACGGCGUACAGUUCCGCUACCCCAGUCGCCCGGCGGUGACCGUUCUGCGCGGCCUCAACCUGAAGGUCCAGCCGGGCCAAACUGUGGCACUGGUCGGCGCCUCGGGCUGCGGAAAAUCCACCUGUGUUCAGCUGCUGCAGAGACUCUACGAUCCGGAGCGAGGAGACGUGAGUGUGGACGGCCAGAGCGUGUCCUCACUCCACCUGGGCUGGCUACGGUCCCAGAUCGGCAUCGUCUCUCAGGAGCCGAUCCUCUUCGAUAAGACAAUCGCCGAGAACAUCGCAUACGGGGACAACAGCCGAGAGGUACCGAUGACGGAGAUCAUAGAGGCCGCUCGAGACGCCAACAUCCACAGUUUCAUCACCAGCCUGCCGGCCGGCUAUGACACCCGCUUGGGCAGCAGCAGCAGCACCCAGCUCUCCGGCGGCCAGAAGCAGCGCGUGGCCAUCGCGCGCGCGCUGGUGCGCCGGCCAGCUAUUCUACUGCUGGACGAGGCGACAUCCGCGCUGGAUACGCAGAGUGAACAGGUGGUGCAGCAGGCUCUGGACCGAGCCGCUAACGGGAGAACCUGCCUGGUGAUCGCGCAUCGUCUUUCCACCAUUCAGGGAGCGGAUUGUAUCGUGGUGGUUAAUAGAGGGAGGGCAGUCGAGCAGGGCACUCACCAGGAGCUGCUGGCAAAGAAGGGGAUGUACUAUGAGCUCUAUAAAACGAUGGGUUAGGUGGGCAAGAGAGAAUGUUUGUUGGAGUGCGUAUUCGUACUUACACUAUUUUGGUGGAUAAAGUGUGAUGUUUCUUGCGACAGUAUUUGCACCGGACGGUGCACCAUUGGGAACUGUUUGUUUGUUGGGAACUGUGCAACUGUUCGUCCGUGCCAUGUUUGAGCAGCAGCAGGGAGGUCAUUUCGGUGCCUUAGGGUUGCGCUGUGGUUUGAUAUCUUCGAGUUGGACAUGUAUGACCUGUUUUCAGGUACAAUGAGAUUUUAUGGUGCUGGUACUUAUUGUUGUUACCAGUGGCGUCUUACGUGUACUAGACCUGACUUCAGGGUCUACGAAAUGAUGCCGGCGAACCUCGCCCCAAGCCUGUCUUUUUCCAUGUAACAGCCAAAUGGACAAUUUUGUUAUGCCUUGGCGAAAUGAACAAAUAUAAUCAUCUGUUUCACUCAACUUA